GAGGGUAUAGCUCAAGUAGUAGAGCACAUGCCUAGAAUGCACAAAGUUGUGGGUUUAAUCCCCAGUACCUCCU
rnacentral:tRNA from 1 species